UACGUAGGUGGCAAGCGUUGUCCGGAAUAACUGGGCGUAAAGCGCAUGUAGACGGCAUGAUAAGCCAAAUGUGAAAUGUAGGGGCUCAACCCCUGCACUGCGAUUGGAACUGUCAAGCUUGAGUGCAGGAGAGGCAAAUGGAAUUCCCAGUGUAGCAGUGAAAUGCGUAGAGAUUGGGAGGAACACCAGUGGCGAAGGCGAUUUGCUGGACUGCAACUGACGUUGAGAUGCGAAAGCCAGGGGAGCAAACGGGAUUAGAUACCCCGGUAGUCCUGGCCGUAAACGAUGGAUACUAGGUGUAGAGGGUAUCGACCCCUUCUGUGCCGCAGCGAACGCAAUAAGUAUCCCGCCUGGGGAGUACGGUCGCAAGACUGAA
rnacentral:rRNA from 1 species